rnacentral:tRNA from 1 species
GGGCGCAUAGCUCAGCUGGCAGAGCGCUACUUUCACAGAGUAGAUGUCACAGGUUCGAGUCCUGUUGCGCCCA